rnacentral:rRNA from 1 species
AACGAACGCUGGCGGCAUGCCUAACACAUGCAAGUCGAACGAGACCUUCGGGUCUAGUGGCGCACGGGUGCGUAACGCGUGGGAACCUGCCCUUAGGCUCGGAAUAACUCUCCGAAAGGGGUGCUAAUACCGGGAAAUGUACUCGGAUCAAAUAUUUAUCCCGUUUGGAUGGGCACGCGUUGGUUUAGCUAGUUGGUAGGGUAAAAGCCUAUCAAGGCGACGAUACAUAGCUGGUCUGAGAGGAUGAUCAGCCACACUGGGACUGAGAUACGGCCCAGACUCCUGCGGGAGGCAGCAGUGGCGAAUAUUGGACAAUGGGCGAGAUCCUGAUCCAGCAAGGCCGGGUGAGUGAUGAAGGCGUGAGAGAUGUAAAGCUCUUUUACCCGGGAUGAUAAUGACAGUACCGGGAGAAUAAGCUCCGGCUAACUCCGUG